rnacentral:rRNA from 1 species
CCUACGGGCGGCAGCAGUGAGGAAUAUUGGUCAAUGGGCGAGAGCCUGAACCAGCCAAGUCGCGUGAGGGAAGACGGUCCUAUGGAUUGUAAACCUCUUUUGCCGGGGAGCAAAAAGCGGUACGUGUACCGCAUCGAGAGUACCCGGAGAAAAAGCAUCGGCUAACUUCGGUCCAGCAGCCGCGGUAAUACGGAGGAUGCGGGCGUUAUACGGAUUUAUUGGGUUUAAGGGGUGCGCAGGCGGAGAGUUAAGUCAGCGGUAAAAUUUCGGGGCUCAACCCCGACAAGCCGUUGAAACUGGUUUGCUAGAGUGGGAGAAAAGUAGGCGGAAUGCGUGGUGUAGCGGUGAAAUGCAUAGAUAUCACGCAGAACUCCGAUGGCGAAGGCAGCAUACCGGCGCCCAACUGACGCUCAGGCACGAAAGCGUGGGUAUCGAACAGGAUUAGAUACCCUAGUAGUC